AUCGCUUCUUGGCCUUUUGGCUAAGAUCAAGUGUAGAAAAUUAUUUAACUUUGACUUCUUGCUUUUCAAGAAAAUAAGUAAUAUGUUUUAAAGGAUUGCUUCAUAUGCUCAUUUUCUAUACAUCUCCCUGUGUGCCACAAAGUAUUUAGCAAAUGUUAU
rnacentral:snRNA from 1 species